AUAUUAUUUUGUACAAAAGGAAAUGGAAAAUCAGAUAGUGUGCACAACGGUCGUGUUUUCUCUUUGAUCUGUUAGAUUUUUUGAUAAAACAUUUUACACGAGAAGAAUCCUUGUCAUAAUUUUAACAAUUAUUUCAAACAAAAUGACUGAAUGACGAUGAUUUAGUGAUACGUCUUGCAACAGAGCUCGAAAGUACACACUAAAAAAAAAAUAUGGCAACAACUCACUGGUGCAUAUUGGUCCUUUUCAUAUUUUAAGAAACUGUUGAAUUGUUGUUUUCUUUGCAAAAAGUUCUCUCAAAUAAUGAAGUUGUGCGAUCGCCAAUUUUCUCAAUGUUUCAAGGCGUUAAAAACGAUUGUCGUUUGUUUUGUAAGUCGUGUUAUUUCAACCAUCUUCCUUUUUUCGUCUGCUUUGCGUCUGGCAGUGCUGGUAUGUGUGUGUGUGUGUGUGUGUGUGUUCGUGUCUGUUCGAAUGAAUGAGCCACUUUUGUACGUUUUGAUGGCCAAAUGAAAAAGUGAGUACCACAUUGAUACAAAUAAAGUGUACGAGGAGCCGAACAUUUCAAUCUUUGAAAAGAAAAAGAAAAAAAUAAAACAAACCAAAGAGAAUCUUGGUCGGCUCCUCUCGAUCGAAAGCAAAUUCUCGUUUUGCUAUUUAUUUUCGUAAUAUCAUGUACAGCAACACUAGGAUACAUCGUGGAAAAAUAUGAUUUCCCAUAUUUAUCCACUUUUGUCUGAAUUCUUAUUUAUUUGGCUCUGCUUCAAAAGGGAAACAAGAGGCAAAAUGCAUUGCUUUAUCAGAAAGAAUCCAGAGUCUUCUCACUAUGCUCUUCUCAUACAGGCAGAAGAUCAAUAGAAAAAAAAAAAAAGGGCCAGUCAUGGCGUCCAUAGUGUCAUUGCCACGCCGUAUGUACUAACUACACAGACCGCACAACCUUUUGUUCCUGAAGGUUAAUCUAAUCUGAAAUAGAAGGAUAGGAUUAACUGUUGAAGGGUUUGGGUAUCAAUCAACUACAUCAAACGAUUUGUUUUGAUGAUGAAUGACUUUAGCUGCCGUUGUCUGUGUGUGUGUGUGUGUGUGUGCGAGGGACGUAGUUGGCCGCGUUGGUUGAUCGGUACGAUGAUGACUCCGAUGGUCGAUUCGCCCAGAAGAUGAGAGGAUCCCCCUCGAAUUUUAUGAAUGAAACUCGCUGGGAAGGGAGGGAUCCGGUCGGCGUGAGUCCCGCGGUACUUCUAUGUCUCUGCGCAGACGCCGCCGACAAUCAAUACAUCUGACGUCGAUGCGUCGCGUUCGCUAGAACAAACAUGGCGACGAACUGCGACUCGAAGGCGCGAUUUGCAGUGUAGGGCACAGAAGCGAUGCAUUAAGUGGAGGGUGGCGGGAAAGGGGAGAUUGGGUGGCGAUAGAGGUCGUAGGAUAUGAGAAGAACCUGGCUCUACACCAGCCUCUUUUGACGUCAUUUCCGCCGAGCGGAAAGAGAGGAAAAAAAAAAAGAAAAAAGAAAAGGAAGAAAGACGCACACGAUGCAUACCAGGAACGUCGACAAUCCUUAUACACUGGUGAAUGUAUAGCGAGGAGGUCUAGCGUAAUGAAGAGCCUAACUUCCAAUCCGAUGGAUGAACCUGUUGCUGCCGCCCACGCCUGUGCUUAACUUGCCUUUAUAGAAACGGCUCCUUGGUCGCAAUCUGUCAAGCCAUCAAGCUCUAUUCAGCCGUAUGACACACAGCCAGCUUUACAGUUUUUUACUCUGAGGUUAGUAAUAUGGUAUCCCCUCACGCCUCGUAAUUGAUUUAUCGG